AGAACCUCUCUGCUGGCAACUGGAAGUUUGCAGGAUACAUCCGGGUGGCUGUCCGAAAAUAAAAGGGGCUCCCCAUCCUUGUGGAACUUCUGAGAAUGGAUAACAAUAGAGUUGUUUCUUCCGUGGCAACUGCCUUGAGGAAUAUGACACUAGAUGUUCGCAACAAGGAGCUCAUAGGCAAAUAUGCCAUGCGAGACCUGGUCAACCAUCUUCCCUGCAGCAACGGUCCCAGUGUCUUGUCUGAUGAGUCCAAGGCAGCCAUCUGCUGUGCUCUGCAUGAGGUCACCAGCAAAAACAUGGAGAACACCAAAGCCCUGGCUGACUCGGGAGACAUAGAGAAGCUGGUGAACAUAACCAAAGGCAGGGGCAACAGAUCAUCUCUAAAAGUAGUGAAGGCAGCAGCCCAGGUCUUGAAUACAUUUUGGCAAUAUCAGGACCGCUGGAGCAUUUAUAAAAAUGAUGGGUGGAAUCAGAACCAUUUUAUUACACCUGUGUCGACAAUGGAGUGAGACUGAUUCAAAUCACGUCCUUCCUUGUCUACCACCAACCAAAAGACGUCACCCAUCAUUCAGUCAGGCUCCAGCAAACCUUCGCCAGUUUACAUCAGUUCAUAUUC